rnacentral:rRNA from 1 species
AUUGAACGCUGGCGGCAGGCUUAACACACGCAAGUCGAGCGGAGAGAGGUAGCUUGCUACUGAUCUUAGCGGCGGACGGGUGAGUAAUGCUUAGGAAUCUGCCUAUUAGUGGGGGACAACAUUUCGAAAGGAAUGCUAAUACCGCAUACGUCCUACGGGAGAAAGCAGGGGAUCUUCGGACCUUGCGCUAAUAGAUGAGCCUAAGUCGGAUUAGCUAGUUGGUGGGGUAAAGGCCUACCAAGGCGACGAUCUGUAGCGGGUCUGAGAGGAUGAUCCGCCACACUGGGCCUGAGACACGGCCCAGACUCCUACGGGGGGCAGCAGUGGGGAAUAUUGGACAAUGGGCGCAAGCCUGAUCCAGCCAUGCCGCGUGUGUGAAGAAGGCCUUAUGGUUGUAAAGCACUUUAAGCGAGGAGGAGGCUACUUUAGAUAAUACCUAGAGAUAGUGGACGUUACUCGCAGAAUAAGCACCGGCUAACUCUGUGCCAGCCGCCGCCGUAAGAC